rnacentral:rRNA from 1 species
CCCAGCGGUGAUAGCCCGUUAAAUGCACCAGUUCCCAAUAAAUCACUGAAGCUAAGAAACGUUGCGCGUGGUUAGUAUCUCAAUGAGUGACCAUCUGGACAAUUGCGUGCUGCUUCCU